UAAUUGAUAUUUUUGUAGAUAGUGAAAAACUCCACAAAAAACGCAAAGCAGCCGUUGACAAAACAGGUAAGUAAUUAAUUAAUAAUUCAGUAGUACUGGAAAAAAGAAGAGAGGAACCGAUGAAUGCAUAAAAAAACCAGGAUGUGUUCUGCUGUACAAUAAAACAAAAAAAGGCAUUGACUUUUCUGACCAGAUGUCAUCUUAUUAUACAACGUUGAAGAGAGGAAUCAAAUGGUGGAGAAAAGUUGUAAUGGAGCUAAUAUUCGGUACAGUGCUAAUUAAUGCCUGGAUUGUGUUUAAUUCAAUCCAAACUGAUGAAAAAAAGUUACCGAAAAGACUCUUUGUGGAGAAACUUAUAGAAUCUUUUAUAAAAAAGGAAAUCGAUGAGAUCCCAGCACCUUAAAGCAGCGCACGUCAUUGCCUUGAAAAGGGUGAAAAAAGAAGAAGAUGUGUUGGUUGUUACCAGAAACUACGCACAUUUUUACCAUCUCGUGAAGCUGACAAAAAAUCCAAAAAGAUUUUGACUCAGUGCUCUCAGUGCAAAAAAUCUUAUUGUCUACCCUGUUUCAAUGAAAAACACUCAUAAAUAAGUACAAAAUAUAUAUUGAGAUUUUUUAUAAAAAAGUAUAUUGUUACUGAAUUUUUGUAUGUUAAUUCAAGUUCUAAUAAGUGUGUUUUUAAAGCCCGAGGCAGAAUAAAUAGGUUAGUUUCUUUUC